GACGAACCGUGCGAACGUUGUUCGGAAUCACUGGGCUUAAAGGGCGCGUAGGCGGCUUCUCAAGUCCGGGGUGAAAGCUUUCGGCUCAACCGGAAAAGUGCCUUGGAUACUGGGAAGCUCGAGGGAGGUAGGGGCGGCCGGAACUUCCGGUGGAGCGGUGAAAUGCGUAGAUAUCGGAAGGAACGCCGGUGGCGAAAGCGGGCCGCUGGACCUCUACUGACGCUGAGGCGCGAAAGCCAGGGGAGCGAACGGG
rnacentral:rRNA from 1 species